CCGGAACACACAGAAAAAUUGAAAAAUAUAUUCUAUCUAUUAGAAUUAAGGAUAAUUUAAGAAGUUAAAAUAAUUAGUGGAGGUAGUGUUAUAAUUUGAGGUGUAUGAAAUAUACAAUUGGUUUUCAUUGCGAAAGAGCAAUAUUGGGUUUGUAGAAAAGGGCAGCCCAAUUAGAAGAGGUUUGAUGUGAUGUCAGGUCAGGAGCGCGUGACGCAGCGACGAAUGACGGUGCAUUCUUCUUCUUCUUCUUCUUCUUCUUGUUGGAGUGAAGUGUGUGUGAAUGAAUAAUAAGAAUCUUGGAAAAUGGAAUUGAAGAAAGUGAUGAAGGAUAAGAAAUUCUGGUUUGCAUCUUUCCUUAUCACUUGGGCUGCUGCUCUCCAGGGACACAUGAUGUGGUUACAGCGUCAAGAUUCAUUCAAACAAAAGUUCCCUGAUCUUGAAAAUGAUCAAACCACCAACCAAUGAGAUAGUCAUAGUACUCCUCAAUCUUCAUAACUCACUCAAACCAACCUUGUAUUGUAUGUUUUCAUUUCAUUCCAAUAUGUAAAUUCACAACUUUCAUUCCCUUAUUUCCGGUUAUUAUAUUCAGCUGCAUAUCAUGUAAUUUUUGUUUAAUCUUCUCUGUAUUAAUAAUAAUAUUUAAGUUACUUAUGAUUUACAUUUCUUUUCAAUUUUGGCUGAUUUACGUGCUUCUGCCAAACUUGUAUAACUAAUUGCAUAACAUAACUUAUUUCUUAUUUUAUUUUUGGUCUGUUAUUAUAAUUCACAGACCCUAAUUACCAAAAUGUUAUCGCCAUCAACCUAGACUACAUGCCUGUUUGGAUUGUCCAACUUAUCUACUGACGUUCACCGCUUACAAACACACCGACUUAUUUCAUACUUCACUUCUCUUGUUGAUGUUAUACUCCACUAGUAAUUAGUGCUUUCGAAAUUCAACUCAUUUGUUCAACCCAAAUCAACAUAGACUUUAUCUUUUCUUCUUGUUACAUCACAUUUGGCAGCCACAUGUAUACGGUGACACAGACAUUCCCCGACUGAGAAAUAAAUUAAAAAGGUGAGAUUUUUAUCACCUUUUUUUCUUGUUAGAGACUGUGU